UCCCCAGAGGACUAGUGGUUAGGCCUUGGCACUCUCACUGCCGCGGCCCGGAUUCAAUUCCCAUACAGGGAA